rnacentral:rRNA from 1 species
UACGAAGGGGGCUAGCGUUGCUCGGAAUCACUGGGCGUAAAGCGCACGUAGGCGGCUUCUCAAGUCAGGGGUGAAAUCCUGGAGCUCAACUCCAGAACUGCCUUUGAUACUGGGAGGCUCGAGUCCGGGAGAGGUGAGUGGAACUGCGAGUGUAGAGGUGAAAUUCGUAGAUAUUCGCAAGAACACCAGUGGCGAAGGCGGCUCACUGGCCCGGUACUGACGCUGAGGUGCGAAAGCGUGGGGAGCAAACAGG